rnacentral:rRNA from 1 species
GAACCAGGCAAAAUGGCACCGUAACUUCGGGAGAAGGUGCGCCCUUUGGUGUGGUCACGUGCGUGACUGAGCAUCGAAGGGUCGCAGUAACCUGGCCGCUGCGACUGUUUAUCAAAAACACAGCACUCUGCAAACACGAAAGUGGACGUAUAGGGUGUGACGCCUGCCCGGUGCUGGAAGGUUAAUUGAUGGGGUCAGCCGCAAGGCGAAGCUCUUGAUCGAAGCCCCAGUAAACGGCGGCCGUAACUAUAACGGUCCUAAGGUAGCGAAAUUCCUUGUCGGGUAAGUUCCGACCUGCACGAAUGGCGUAACGACAGCGGCGCUGUCUCCACCCGAGACUCAGUGAAAUUGAAAUCGCUGUGAAGAUGCAGCGUUCCCGCGGCAAGACGGAAAGACCCCGUGAACCUUUACUAUAGCUUUACACUGAACGUUGAGUUCUUCUGUGUAGGAUAGGUGGGAGGCUAUGAAACCAGGACGCUAGUUCUGGUGGAGCCAUCCUUGAAAUACCACCCUGAAGUGCUUGACGUUCUAACCUAGGCCCGUAAUCCGGGUCAGGGACCGUGUAUGGUGGGUAGUUUGACUGGGGCGGUCUCCUCCCAAAGAGUAACGGAGGAGCACGAAGGUACGCUCAGCGCGGUCGGACAUCGCGCACUGUGUGCAAAGGCAUAAGCGUGCUUGACUGCGAGAUCGACGGAUCAAGCAGGUACGAAAGUAGGUCUUAGUGAUCCGGUGGUUCUGUAUGGAAGGGCCAUCGCUCAACGGAUAAAAGGUACUCCGGGGAUAACAGGCUGAUACCGCCCAAGAGUUCAUAUCGACGGCGGUGUUUGGCACCUCGAUGUCGGCUCAUCACAUCCUGGGGCUGUAGCCGGUCCCAAGGGUAUGGCUGUUCGCCAUUUAAAGUGGUACGCGAGCUGGGUUCAGAACGUCGUGAGACAGUUCGGUCCCUAUCUGUCGUGGGCGUUGGAGAUUUGAGGGGGGCUGCUCCUAGUACGAGAGGACCGGAGUGGACGUUCCGCUGGUGUUCGGGUUGUCAUGCCCAUGGCAUUGCCCGGUAGCUACGAACGGAAGUGAUAACCGCUGAAAGCAUCUAAGCGGGAAGCACGCCCCAAGAUGAGAUCUCCCGAGAGCUUGACUCUCCUAAAGGCACCAUCAAGACUAGGUGGUUGAUAGGUCAGGUGUGGAAGCGCAGCAAUGCGUUGAGCUAACUGAUACUAAUGAGCCGUGAGGCUUGACC